rnacentral:rRNA from 1 species
UACGAACCGUGCGACCGUUGUUCGGAUUCACUGGGCUUAAAGGGUGCGUAGGUGGGCUUGUAAGUCAGUGGUGAAAUCUCCGUGCUUAACAUGGAAACUGCCAUUGAUACUAUGGGUCUUGAAUUAUCUGGAGGUUAGCGGAAUAUGUCAUGUAGCGGUGAAAUGCUUAGAUAUGACAUAGAACACCAAUUGCGAAGGCAGCUGGCUACAGGUACAUUGACACUGAGGCACGAAAGCGUGGGGAUCAAACAGG